rnacentral:rRNA from 1 species
GCUUAGCCCUAAAUCUUGAUACUUCACCUACAUAAGUAUCCGCCCGAGAACUACGAGCACAAACGCUUAAAACUCUAAGGACUUGGCGGUGCCCUAAACCCACCUAGAGGAGCCUGUUCUAUAAUCGAUAACCCACGAUACACCCAACCAUCUCUUGCCAAUGCAGCCUACAUACCGCCGUCGCCAGCCCGCCUAAAUGAAAGAACAAUAGCGAGCAUAAUAGCUACUCC